rnacentral:lncRNA from 1 species
CAACAAUCCUCCGGGCUGCCGCCACCGACAGCGAUGCUGCCAGCUCUGCCGUCGUCUCCGUCAGAACCCCCUGUUUGUGCAUCCAUCCAUGGAUGCCAAUGGUAAGAGAGUCAGUUCAGACCACCACCAUAUCAUGCCAUGAUAAGAGAUCAAUUUAAUCAGACUGAAUAUAUUACAGGUGUGUUGCCGAUGGCGAUGCCGUUCCUGUUGGCAGCAUCAACGUCGACGUUGUUGUACCCAACCGCCAUGUUGCUAAAGGCUGUCCCUCCAGCGCGCUUGAGCGCCGAGAAGAGCACUUCCCCCCA